CCCUUAGAUGCUCUGGGCCGCACGCGCGCUACACUGGUCGAUGCAACGAGUUUCUUUCCUUGGCCGACAGGCCUGGGCAAUCUUUGAACAUCGAUCGUGAUCGGGAUAGAUUCUUGUAAUUUUUGAUCUUAAACGAGGAAUUCCUAGUAAACGCAAGUCAUCAGCUUGCAUUGAUUACGUCCCUGCCCUUUGUGCACACCGCCCGUCGCACCUACCGAUUGAAUGGUCCGGUGAGGCUUUGGGAGAGCUAAAUAGACUGUGCUUCACAGAUUAUUUGGCUUGAACUUAGUCAAACCUUACUAUUUAGAGGAAGGAGAAGUCGUAACA
rnacentral:rRNA from 1 species